rnacentral:rRNA from 1 species
CCUACGGGAGACAGCAGUGAGGAAUAUUGGUCAAUGGACGAGAGUCUGAACCAGCCAAGUAGCGUGAAGGAUGACUGCCCUAUGGGUUGUAAACUUCUUUUAUAUGGGAAUAAAAUGUUCCACGUGUGGGAUUUUGUAUGUACCAUAUGCAUAAGGAUCGGCUAACUCCGUGCCAGCAGCCGCGGUAAUACGGAGGAUCCGAGCGUUAUCCGGAUUUAUUGGGUUUAAAGGGAGCGUAGGUGGAUUGUUAAGUCAGUUGUGAAAGUUUGCGGCUCAACCGUAAAAUUGCAGUUGAAACUGGCAGUCUUGAGUACAGUAGAGGUGGGCGGAAUUCGUGGUGUAGCGGUGAAAUGCUUAGAUAUCACGAAGAACUCCGAUUGCGAAGGCAGUUCACUGGACUGCAACUGACACUGAGGCUCGAAAGUGUGGGUAUCAAACAGGAUUAGAUACCCCGGUAGUC